CAGAAGUGGUUAGCCUAACGCAAGAGGGCGAUCACCACGGUGUGGUUCAUGACUGGGGUGAAGUCGUAACAAGGUAGCCGUAGGGGAACCUGCGGCUGGAUCACCUCCUUA
rnacentral:rRNA from 1 species